rnacentral:rRNA from 1 species
UACGUAGGUGGCAAGCGUUAUCCGGAUUUAUUGGGUGUAAAGGGCGUGUAGGCGGGAAUGCAAGUCAGAUGUGAAAACUCAGGGCUCAACCCUGAGCCUGCAUUUGAAACUGUAUUUCUUGAGUGCUGGAGAGGCAAUCGGAAUUCCGUGUGUGGCGGUAAAAUGCGUAAAUAUAUGUAAGAACACCAGUGGCGAAGGCGGCUUGCUGGGUCGAUACUGACAUUGAGGCACGAAAGCGUGGGGAGCAAACAGG